rnacentral:lncRNA from 1 species
UCAAAGAUAAACUAAUUGAGUAUAAGGCACUUGUUUAGAGACAUAAGAGGACAAUUUAGAAUUGUUGUUCUGGAUCCAGUUUAGAACAAGGCUUUUAAUUUCUUUGUAACAAUAACCUAAGUGACCACGGUAUAGAUCUGUUUGAAAUAAGGAGCACCCAGUCCUGCAACUGCCACGCCCACCAUCGGUUUGUGGGUCCACAGGAUCUUCAUCCCUGUGCUCGACCACCAGCACCAAAAAACUGAGGGUGAAGUGCAAAAAACUACCCCAACAUAAUGAGCAUCCAAUCCCGCUACUACCAGACACAUCAUCCGUUAGUGUGUCAGCUGGAUAAUCAUCCCUGUUCUGCAGUACCAGCGAUCAAGCGGCGAGGGUAAAAUUCACCCAGGAAGAGAAGGAGGCAGUCCAGAAGCUUUUCCAGAGCUGGAUAGAAAAGGGUGACAUGCCUCGCAUAGGCGUGGUGAGGGACAUAGUUAAACAAAAUAAAAAAGUAGCACGUUGCCUCUCUAACCGAUCAUUUCUCCAAGUGAGGGACAGAGUCCGCAAUGCAAUAAAAGCUCAAACAAAAUCUACGUCUAUGUAGAUCAUCAACUAUUUCAUUCAUCUUUCUUUUUUCUCAGUUGCUUUCUUAAUGUAAUAUCCCUCACAACGCCUAUGCAAGGCAUGUCACCUUUUUCUAUCCAGCUGUUGAUAUUCUAAUGAAAUGUUUAAGAAAUGGCAGUGCACACUUGUCAGUAAGUCUGAAUGUUUUGUUAAAGUAGUUUUCGUGAUUCUUCUUUCUAUUCUUGUUCUUUUACUUUUUACAUGAUUAUGAUAUGCUUUUUAUGAAUAUGAAGGUACAAUUGUAUCAAUAAAAACCUUCAAUUGUCAUUAAUAAAACACUUUGAGCAGGACAUAGGAGAUAGUUUUGUAUUAUGUCCGAACUAAAUAUGAGUUGAGUCAAAUCAAAAAAUCAUAAUUAUCUACAUUGGACGUAAAAAUGAUUGAGUUAUGGCAUUUUUGAACUUUUGUAUUGUUUCAUGAAACAGUUAUAUGCAUAACAUGGGCUGUAUUUCGAUUAGUGACAUGCCGCACUGUCAUAUGCUCGAUUUUCCUUAUGUGUAUUAUAUUAAAUAUAUAUUCCUGUACACUAUUAACAUAUUUUUAAAAAGAAUACCCGUUUUACCGGUCCUAAGCUUUGGAACGAUUUACCUUAAACUAUGAGGAAAUCUGUACUUCUAUUGGAAGCUUUAAAAAAUGUAUAAUUUUAAAUUACAGUGCAUAAGUAUUAGCCCUAUACCCGAUGAGGCUGACGAGUGUGUGUGUGUAUAUUGUAUAAGGGGAUGUGUAUAUAACCCAAUUAUAUUGUACUGGCACCAUGAAAGCUCUCGUGUUAUAAACAGCUUCGCGGGACUCGAACCCACCCAAGUAAAAUAAAAAAGAGUUUACAACACACAUGAAGCUAUAUAUUAAAGUUAAUUAAUAAUAGCAGUUUGUGUCAUAUAUAUUUAAAAGAAUUUGCACUUUAGGAAUGCAAAAGAUUAAAUGUAUUUUCUUACACCGUAA